ensembl:snRNA
ACGUUGUAUGAAAGGAGAGAAGGUUAGCACUCCUGUCGACAAGGAUGAAAGAGGGCCUUGGCCUGACAACACACACAUGGGUAAGGCACUGCCGCCCACUUCGUGGCAUCUAACCAAUAAUCAAA